rnacentral:lncRNA from 1 species
GAUGGGGUCCAUUCCUUUUUGUUAUAAUACUAAUAAUAAUCAGAAACUGGUGAAAGCAACCAACAUAUAGAAAGGAAAAUUAUCUCCUCUAAGAUCUGGAAUAAGCUAAAUCAUCCAUUGUGCAGUUAAACCAUUGUAUUCUGAGAGAAGACAAAGAGAAACAGAUAGAUUGGGUAUCAGGCAAAGAUGGAUACUUCCAGGUUUGCUAUUUAAGAACCAUAGUCAGUCUUAUGAGGAGAGACCAUACGUAAUACAAUCUUUAAGAUGACAAAAUCCAUUCCUACCAAUACAAUGACCACGCUUAAGGUACAAGGAUAACGGGCAAAAGACUAAAUUGCAACUAUAUAAAAUUCUGCUGCAUUGUAGCAAAUUCAACUGUGACGACACGCCACCAGGAGGAUGAAGUCUAUCUAUAAACCCACUUAUUGCUAGAUGGACGGUGUAACCGAGCUAAAACGGCAAAGUAGAAUAAAAGAAACUGACAACGCUUCCGCAUGCGCUCCACAUAUGGAGGCAGGCGGAGGUUGGGCAAUUGGAGGAAAUGACAUUUCUGACGGUGUAACAUAGAAAUUUGUAACACCGUCAAGUACAAUUUCCCAUCCUUCGGGUUGUGGCGUUCUGCCACUUGGCAUUACGUUAACAUCGAGUGCCGACUUGGCAAGACAGGACCCCAGCAUCAGAAGUCAGUGUGUCAACCAAGGAAGAGGGCUUGGCCCCAAAGCUGGAGGCCCGUGCGUAGCUGGCUGAAGCCCCUGCACCGGAAGGGGUGAAAAAAGCACCAUUCAGAAGCAGGUCACCCUCCGACCUCCAAUUCCAGUUCUUCCACGUGCUUUGAUCUGUGUCCACCCUUUUUGUUACCUAUUCAAUCGAAGCAUAGGGAUUAUUAGAAGUCGCGAUGGAAGGAAAAUUCUUAUAAAUGGUGCACAAAAGAGGGAGGAUGGACGGAGCUGUUGUAGGUUGCUUCUUGUACCUCCUUUGCAAAUGGAUUGGUCGGCGCAAGGUAUCGGUUGCCUUGACUGUUGAUCGUUGGAUUCGCGCUCCCGCCAAUGGCGUACAUCUCCCAGUGCGUGUAGUCAUUGUUUACCACGUGGAAGUAGCCAUGCCUGCACCUGAAAUCUCAAGCAACAUAGUCAUUGUGGAGAUUAUUUAUUACUUUCAACUUCUCGGACAAUAUGUUAAUUUGUUCCGUUUUCCUAAGCGGAUCAAAAGAGUUGGACAAUAUAUAUUCCAUCGUUGUGGAUUUCCGAAAGUUACCUGGGCAUUCUCUGAAUCAGGCCUUCACCAAAAUGAUUAAAUGCGAUCGUUACUUGCAUGAUGCUGUCCCUUGCAUAAGAAUCAGUGUGUCCCAAAAGCAUGACCUGCAUCAAUUCGGCCAAUAAUGCUCACACAAGACAAAUUUUCAGAAUUUAGAUAAAUCAUCAAUGUCAAUCAAGCAAAUCUUUUUUGUUCUCCCGUGCUAAAUGCCAAUUGCAGUUAAGAAAAUAGAAAUCAAUUCUUUGGCGAAUGCUCCUUGGUGCCUGUCAUAAUAGGCAAUCUCAAUCAUCAAAGAAAGAGCACUGAAAUAAGGUGGCUAGAUGUACAGUAGUCAUAUUUAGAAAGUAACAUUUGGUAGCAGCAUAUUUUCUUGUUUUUAACAUGUCUUGCACUGGACAAAUAGAACGCAUGAUAUAUGAAAUAGCACUUCCUGUCGAAUUCGUCCCUUAUUCAACACUCUUUUGGUGCUACAGAAUAAAAUCGAAUAACCGACGUUCGACUGGAGCAAUGCAAGAAAGGGAUACCUCAUUGUGGUGGGUGAAGUAAUUGUUGGAGACCGUAAUGGCAGUGGAGCCCAUGACGGCAUCGACAAGUCCAUCGGCGCAG